GUGAGAUUGAUGUGAUGAUAUGCCUGGCUCCCUGUAUGCCACACACCCACCACAAUCCAAGCGGGCGGAUUGGCGGAGGUGGGUGGCGUACGAGGAGCCAAGCAUGCCCAAAACCCCGCUGUCUUGA
rnacentral:miRNA from 1 species